UACGGGGGGGGCAAGCGUUGUUCGGAAUUACUGGGCGUAAAGGGCUCGUAGGCGGCCAACUAAGUCGGAUGUGAAAUCCCCAAGCUUAACUUGGGAACUGCAUCCGAUACUGGAUGGCUUGAAUCCGGGAGAGGGAUGCAGAAUUCCAGGUGUAGCGGUGAAAUGCGUAGAUAUCGUAAGGAAGACCAGUGGCGAAGGCGGGUCUCUGGACAGUUCCUGACGCGUGAGGCACGAAGGUCAGGGGAGCAAACGGG
rnacentral:rRNA from 1 species